rnacentral:tRNA from 1 species
CAGGGAGACAACAAAAUGUUUAAUAUUAUUAUUUUGUCACCUUAGGUCGAUCGGUAUCUCACGUUCUUAAUUCAUUAAGAAUUUCAUUUCCUAAGUUUUUCUAGGUCACACCCAUUAUUUUUCCUGGGCCAUUAGCUCAGGUGGUUAGAGCGCACCCCUGAUAAGGGUGAGGUCCCUGGUUCAAGUCCAGGAUGGCCCAUAUCUCUAUGUUGGGGGUAUAGCUCAGUUGGUAGAGCGCCUGCUUUGCAAGCAGGAUGUCAGCGGUUCGAGUCCGCUUACCUCCACUGAUUACCACCUCUUCCAUAAUUGGUAGAAAGGAAAUUUUUUGAGUUGUGAUCAAAUUCUGAACGAAUCUAGCUUCCUAAUGUAAUUAUUAAGAUGCUGGACUCAUUGAAUUAAAUUCAUUGUUUUCAGAGAACCUUGACAACUGCAUAGAUUAUUUUUAAAGACAAUAAGCAUCUUUAAUGAUGCAGAUUUAUUAUUUAUGCGAAUGCAUUAAAUAACAAUUCUAUUAAGCUGAUGCUUCAAUUUUGAAGUUAUU